rnacentral:lncRNA from 1 species
AUAAAGUAAAACCAGGGCAAGCUCAUGAUGAAAAGAGAAUUCAUCUUCACUGGAGAGUGGAAUCAGCUUGAGGUAUCCCGUAGACUUCCCUUCUAUGAUGUCAUAAACCAGCCCCCGAGAAGGAGGAGUUUUACAAAUGUUCAAAUCUGUUAGGAAGGAAGGAUCAAGUGGCCCCCGACAGCUCCCGAGCGGAGGCAGAGCCCCCAGGCUCUACCUCCUGAGGCCCAGUCGUGCUCUCCCAAGCAUGCCUCUCUGGGAUCUGGGGAGGUUCCCGAGAGCUGGACUUUUAACUGCAGACUUGGCCCCACUUUUCCUAGUGGAUGACCUUCAGAUGCUGCUGCCUGGACCUGAGUAAUGAUGGCAUUCUCUCUUACUCCAGAGCUCAACUGUGCAUACCUGGACUAGGAUUCUGGAAAACUCUGUGCCUUUUAUUCAUUCUUGGCUAGAGAUCAUAGUCAGCACAUGGAUUAUCCUGUAGAAAUGUCAUCUCUUAAAGACGCAGUCCACUUAGACAAUGUCCUUUUCCCUGCGUCAGGUUUUCUGUGGCCUCCAGGGCCCCGCAUGAGUGCCACAACUGUCAACACACAGCGUGAGGAUGUGUGCUGCCUGUGGAAGUGUUUGUCUGAGCUGCAGCCCUGGUGUUCUUGGUUCUGGGACACACAUCGCGUGAAGACCUCUGUGGAACUGAAGCGUGCUGCAAGCUCACUAGAGCAGUCUGUUGGGGGGAUGUUGGCCUCCUUGGCUUGGAUACACCCGCGGUCUCAGCCUCUAAAAGCACUGACAAGCAGUACAAGGGACUCCUUCUCUCCUUCCUCUGCCAGUUGCCCCUGUCCAUCCAGAUGACAGCCUUCCAGCUCCAGCCAGGGCCCUCCCCUUCCUUUCCUGCCACCACCUUGACUCCUAGCCCAUGGCAUUCAAACACAGGUGAUUUUCUUGGCCACCUCAGAUAACCAAAGUGAUAGGAAAACUGGAUUUCUCCCUGAGGACCUGGCCCCUCAUUACCCCUGUCUAUAGCGUUACACUCCAGAGACCCUAACCCAGCCUUAACCACCAGCAAUUGGCUACACUGCACAGCAGUGCACUGGCCUCUGGCCCUGCCCUGCCAUCAUUUCUCCACCUCUCACUGCCUGUUCUCCUAAAGUGCCCAGUGGCUUUGUGCUGGCUGCUGGGAGAGCAGCUACCAAAUUUUCACCCUUAGGUGCUAAUGACAGAAGGUGUAGCAUCUCCCAAGACUUUGGAGUCCAAAAAGGAACUUGAAGGAGAGAGAAAUUACUAAUGAUGAGUUUUCCAGUUCACUGGCAUGUGAGUGUGGAAAGGUUGAUUCGUCCCUCUCCAGUCACAUGUGUGGAGGCUCACUCACUCUGUGUGGGUCCGGGCCUUCAAGCUCUAGUGUUUUCUGAGCGCCCCUUCCACGUCAGGCCCCCAUCUGGGCUCUUUCCUUCAUGCAAUAACGUUAAGCCCCGUGAGGCAGGUGUUAUCAUCCUUAUUGUCCAGAUGAAAUGUGCGUACCUUAGGAACUAAAUGACUUCUCCCAAAUCACGCAGCUGCGGGCAGCAGAAGCAGGUUUCACACCCAGAUUUCUGAUGCAAACCCCAGUGAUGAUUCUCUCUGGAAGCUCAGUUCGAGCCCCUUCUAUCCAGGUCUGUCCUCACCACCCCGUCUUCCGUUUCCCUCCCCAGGUCUCUGGUCCACCCCAGAGGGGAGACUGGCAGGAGAUAAGCUUUAUUCAUUUCCGAUCCCUAAUUCUUGGAACAUACCAAACCCUUGGUGAAUUUUGCUGAAUAAAAGGGCAUUAGAAUCCAGUUGGCAAACAGGUAUUAGUUUCCUGUGGCUGCUAUAACAAAUUGCCUCCAAUCUUGUAGCUUAAAACAGUAUAGAUUUAUUAUCUCACAGUUCUGAAGACCAGAAAUUCAAAAUCAGUUUCACUGGGCCAAAAUCUAGGUGUUGGCAGGACUAUGUUCCUUCCAGAAGAUCUCAGGGAGAAUCUGUUCAUUGCUUCUUCCAGCUUCUGGUGGCCACUGGCAUUCCUCAGCUUGUGGCCAUAUCAGUCCAAUCUCUGCCUCUGUGGUCACAACUUCUCCUCCCCUGUGAGUGUUUCAAUUCUUCCUCUGCUUCCUUCUUACAAGGAUAUUUGUGAUUGCACUGGGACCCAUCCAGAUAAUCCUGGAUCAUCUCCUCACGUCAAGAUCCUUAAUUACUUCUGCAAGGACUUCGCCAUAUAAGAGGGAUGGCAUGCCCACAGGUCAGCCGCCCUGGCCUUCAGCAGGAGCAGCAUCCCCGCCUCCAAGAGAACAAGCUCUGUUCACAGUCUCUCCACCACUUCCCAGUGGGAUGAUAUGGGACUAUGAUCCCAGCACCCCCAGGCCUCGAUUCCCUCACCUGUAAAAUGGGAAUAAUCAAAGUACCUGCCACCUAGCUUUGUCAUGAGGGCUACAGGACCGUGUGCCUGAGAUAUGUUCAGACAUCUUAGAACCUGUUUCUAUUGUUGGCGAAGUCUCCUUGGAGCUCUGAGAUCUGUGGGGGAAAUCCAUGCUUUUCAAAGAUUCCCUGAUUCGUUCUUAAUUAUUCAGCAGUAUCCCUGACACGUCAGUGGCCCAGGAAUGAAUGAAAACAAAAGGUCAAGGAAACUUCCCUUUGUGGUCACAUUUAUCUUUUGAUAACAUUGGAUUUACUCUGAGAAAACCACUCAGUCAUGCAAGAUGCUUUCUUCUCUCUGAGAGCAAGUACGCGCAAAAUGAGGAAGGAAGUCUGCUUUCACUACUUCUAAGUGACCUUCGAGUGACACUCUGAGCACCAGCGUGCUUGGGAAGGUGGCAGAGAAGCCCAGAGUCUUCUCUUUCAUGCUAGGCUGUGUGGCACAAGUCGUUUCCCUUCUGUAGGCCGAAGUUGGGAUUUUCUUCCUUAACAGAAAAGAGAAUCUGACAGAUCAGAUUUAGUUAGAUCCAAACAAAUAAAAGGAGAUGGAAGCCUUCACUAUUGACAUUUAAAAUCCUUCCUUAGCUACAGUCAGCACUUGCCUCUCUCUGCCCGCCAGAAUAGUGAGAGAGUGGCUCCUCCACAUGCCGUUGGUGAAACCUGGCUGAGAAGGGCUCCUGCGCAGACUUGCCGUGGCCUUUGUCGUGGACACAUCAAAAUCACCACGGCAGCCGUGGAGCAGCUGCUGCUCCUCCCUUCAUCGUGGUCUGAGGGCUCAUGCCUUCUCCCACCACUUGGCAUCACAAUUACCAUGCGUGUCUGUGUGUCUGUGGUAGGUGAGAACCCCAUCCUCAGGUCCUUUGCUGUGGGCUCGCACAGCACCUCCCUCCAGAGUGGGUGGAGUACCUUUCCCCGUCCUUGGGAUGCUAGGCUUGGCCAGAGGAGCAGAUUCAAACCCAAUGUGCAGUCCACAGGCGAGCUCAGCCAAACCCAGCCAAGAAGAGUUGAAACCCAGCCAACCUACCAGUCUGUGGUGACAUGGAGGCUGACACAGAGUGACUGUCGGCAGCCGGAACUCAGCCACAGGCAUCUCCCUCCUGGACCAGCACACUCGCCAAAACGGCCUGCAUUUCUCCUGUGGAACAGCCCUCAGCACUGAUCCUUGGCGCGGCUUUCCUCUCUGUGGCCCUGGGGGGCUAUAUUCUCCAGCUAAGCGCUAAGAGGGUAGCCAGAGAGCAUUCUCAAGGCUUCCAACAAACCAAGAGGGUACUAAUGGAAACAGAGAGGUGGGAGAGAGAGGAAAAGAGCAGAGACACGGAAUGUAUUCUGGUCACUUUCUCUCCUUCGGUGUAAUGGGAGUCUGUACUGGGAGGCCCCAGAGUGGGUCCUGGGAAGGGUAGCUUCAUGGUUGAGUGCAAACCUUGGAUUUAGGUUUCAACAUAAAUACAGGCCCGGUGAACAGCCAGCACCGGCAUCUGGCUGGGGUGGACCUUGUCAGUGCCUGAGGAAGACUACACCCAGUCCUAGAGACUAGCCAUCAAAGGGCAGGCAGAGGAGGAAAGCAAAUCCAGGCGUGCCUGCCCGCGUUCCAGUGAACGACAUUGUUGUAAACUCUCCAGAACAUGACUCGAGGAGAAAACGGCGACGUGCAUUGUGAAACAAAAGGUGCACGUUUUGUGUGCUUGUUCUGCAGUAACAUAAAAUAUGUCUUUUAAAUUGAAUGUGGAAAGGACAAUAGGGUGGACUGAGGGACAUUCUCAGGACCAGCGUUCCCUCAAGUAGGUGCACACCCUCAAGGCAAAGCUCAAGACAGCCCUUUGCUUGAAAAACAAGCCAUGGGUUGUCUGAGUCUGGCUGCAGAAAAUCCUGGGACCGUGCUGGACACCGCGGGCAGGAGGGCGGAGGGGCUGACUGAGGAAAGCUGCCCUCGCACCACCCUUGCAGUUGUUGGGGCCAAGGGAGGAAAGGCUGCGACUGCGGUGGCCCCCAGGCGGCCGGUGCUGGGCAGCCGAAAGGAGAGGAGAACCCGCCACGCACAAACACCGUGACCCGCGGGUCCGAACGCGCCCGGGAGCCUUCCUACGCAGCAUAGAGAUGGCAAAGGAGCUCAGGCAGAGCCAGAAACUAACGUGGAGUUUCCUCCCUCUGCAGGAGUGCCUGGGGGUGCCAGGCAGCAGCAUGGCCAGCAGCCGGGGGCACAAGUCCCCAGGCCCCAAGGAGGGUGGGGGAGGCUCAGCCCAGCACCCACCAUGGUGGACAGCGAGACAGAAGCGAGUCCAUUUGUAAACACGUAACUGACACUUUCACUUUUGUAUGUGGGGAAAAUGUUUAGAGAUUUAUCUGAAGGGAGAGGGUGAUGCUCCAGACCAUAUGUUCCGCACACAAAGCAACCAAAAAGCUGAAGGACCAGCACAAACUGCUUGACUGCAGAUCAGGCCUCGUGGAGAAGCCUGACUGGUGUCGAGAUGGGGAGCCCACUGGGCCAGAUGGAAGCAUUUGACCAGGUACUCCAGCUCCAACGAGCGACGGUCCAGUGUACACACUUGGACCACAAUUGUACUGCUAAAUAGAAUGAG